UUAUUAGAAAGCCACGGCUAACUACGUGCCAGCAGCCGCGGUAAUACGUAGGUGGCAAGCGUUGUCCGGAAUUAUUGGGCGUAAAGCGCGCGCAGGCGGUUCUUUAAGUCUGAUGUGAAAGCCCACGGCUCAACCGUGGAGGGUCAUUGGAAACUGGAGAACUUGAGUACUGAAGAGGAAAGCGGAAUUCCACGUGUAGCGGUGAAAUGCGUAGAGAUGUGGAGGAACACCAGUGGCGAAGGCGGCUUUCUGGUCUGUAACUGACGCUGAGGCGCGAAAGCGUGGGGAGCAAACAGGAUUAGAUACCCUGGUAGUCCACGCCGUAAACGAUGAGUGCUAAGUGUUAGGGGGUUUCCGCCCCUUAGUGCUGCA
rnacentral:rRNA from 2 species